rnacentral:lncRNA from 1 species
UAUGUUUACAAGUCUUCACCACCUCCUCCGUAUGUUUAUAGUUCUCCUCCACCUCCACCAUAUGUUUACAAGUCUCCACCACCACCUCCUUAUGUCUAUAGCUCUCCACCGCCUCCUCCAUAUGUUUACAAGUCGCCACCUCCUCCUCCUUAUGUUUAUAGUUCUCCACCGCCUCCUCCAUAUGUUUACAAGUCUUCACCACCUCCUCCGUAUGUUUAUAGUUCUCCUCCACCUCCACCAUAUGUUUACAAGUCUCCACCACCACCUCCUUAUGUCUAUAGCUCUCCACCGCCUCCUCCAUAUGUUUACAAGUCGCCACCACCUCCUCCUUACAUUUAUAGCUCUCCACCGCCUCCUCCAUAUGUUUACAAGUAUCCCCCUCCUCCUCCAUAUGUCUACAGCUCUCCACCGCCUCCUCCAUAUGUUUACAAGUCUCCCCCUCCUCCUCCAUACGUCUACAAAUCUCCACCACCACCUCCGUAUGUGUACAAGUCGCCACCACCUCCUCCUUACGUCUACAACUCUCCACCACCACCUCCGUAUGUCUACAAGUCGCCACCACCUCCUCCUUACAUCUACAACUCUCCACCACCACCUCCGCAUGUCUACAAGUCGCCACCAUCUCCUUCUUACAUCUACAGCUCUCCACCACCACCUCCCUAUGUCUACAAGUCGCCACCACCUCCUCCUUACGUUUACAAGUCUUCACCGUCACCUCCAAGCUAUAGCUAUAGCUCUCCCCCUCCUCCAAUAUACUAACCAAACAUAUACAUGAUGAACCGGAU